UCCAACUGCCCCGUAUUAGCCGGGAGCUUGAAACAUCCUGUGUACGGUGUUAUAUGACUGUAAUUUGACUUGCCGAAAUACACAUGCAUAUAUACGAAAAAUACAUGCCAGUUGGCAUUACAAUUAACACUGACCAUGGUAUACAUAUCAAUAAUCCUAUCCAGACCACUCAUACUUGCUUGUGGAAAUAGGCUAUACUCGUAUAUAGAAUGGUCUGUAUUUCCUGUGAUGAUUGUAAUUCUGCAUAGAUAGGAUGGGUAAAUUGACUGUUAAGUCAUGGUAUACAAUUUACUUUUUAACCACAAUUCCAUUGUGGCUUGCAAUUAAGAUGUCCAGUGCAUAAUGUACUUUACCUGAUGUAAUUAAUCCUGUUAGAUAUUCGAAUACGAGAUGUAUUCAUAACAAAUGCAGUGCAUUUAAAAAAAAAACUAUUUCUUUCAGUGGAGUGGGUGAAAAUAAAAAUAAGAUUGCUGUGGAACAGCUAUACCAAGGCCAGAAAACCUCAAACAAGUGGAAGUGCCAGGAAACACUUGACCAAACGUUCCAAAUGGCUUUCGGAAAAACUGCAAUUUCUUGCUCCCUACAUCGCUGCUCGGCCAACAAUAACAAACUUGGAUACGCCAUCACCAUCUGAUACAGCUGGCAGUGAGGACACCAUUGACGUACUAGAUGAUAGCCAAAGUGAAGACCCCAAUGAUACAUCUUCUGUAUUUGAAAGUGAAGCUGAUGGAGAAAGCAGUACAAGCACAUCUACCCACAAAUUCACAAAACAACCCAUCAUACGACCAAACCAUCUGAAACGGCAACGAGAUGCUGAAGAAUAUCAGUUGAUAAAAGGGUUGGCUGAGUCAAUUACUCAGAGAAACAAGGCACAAAAAAAAUCAGUGGAAGAUAAUGCAGUUUGUGCAUUUGGUCGGUAUGUCACACAAACGUUGUCUGAGUUUGAUCCAUACACUAGAAACAUGGCCCAAUUCCAUAUUAAUAAUAUUUUAUUUCAGGCACAAAUGGGAACACUUGGCCAAAAUACACACCCCAUCAGCCCAAGACCACCACCAGUGUUUAACCACCAGCCACAACCAUUUCAUCCCCGACAUGAGUGGGAAUGAGAUGAGGAAUGUUGUGGAGCAGCAUACAACCUGCACCCCCCUCCCAAAGAUGAGGAGCAUUUAAGGCUGUGGCUAAAGGCGCUGAACCUGAAGAGACCACCCAAGCGACCAUACGUUUGUUCGUUUCAUUUCGUGGACGGCAAGCCAACGGAUGAGCACCCUUAUCCUGAGAAAUGGCUCGGCUAUGAUGCUCCGGUGAAGAAGCCACGUCGGGUGUUGAAGAGGUUACCGCCGGAUUCAAGUACAUCAGGUGGUGCCAGCAACGCAGUAGAGAACUGUGAGGAUGAGGAUGACAUACCUACACACUGUGAUGGGGAAACACAGUGGGAAGAUUUGUCUGUCAAUGACCACAGCUAUUCUUCAAAAUUAUUACUUUAUUAUUAUUAAUUAUUAUUACCUUUCCACUAUGUAAAUACUGAUAUGCCUCAGUACUUUUAUAGUUUUUCAUAGAAGCUCCGUCAACCCCUAAUGACAGGACUAAGUAAUUGAAGAUGUCUCCAUACGUUACGGCCGGCCACUUCCUCAGAUCGUCCUCCCAUGAUAAAAUUAAUGAUGGAUGAGGCAAUGUGAUGGCAAUGUGAUGCCAUCCGACCUUCUGAGCAUCGUCUUUGUAUGUUCCCAUUUCAAAGGAGUAGCGUUGUGUGCCAUGUUCUAUUUUAUUUUGGUUUACAGUGAUAGUUUGUUAACCGGAAAAUUACCGGAAGUUCGCUUUCUUUUCCCCUGAAGUCGUAUGACAAAAUGCGGAAGUAGCGGAGCAUGGAAAGUGGGCGGG